rnacentral:rRNA from 1 species
GACGAACGCUGGCGGCGUGCUUAACACAUGCAAGUCGAACGGAAAGGCCCUGCUUUUGUGGGGUGCUCGAGUGGCGAACGGGUGAGUAACACGUGAGUAACCUGCCCUUGACUUUGGGAUAACUUCAGGAAACUGGGGCUAAUCCCGGAUAGGAGCUCCUGCUGCAUGGUGGGGGGUGGAAAGUUUCGGCGGUUGGGGAUGGACUCGCGGCUUAUCAGCUUGUUGGUGGGGUAGUGGCUUACCAAGGCUUUGACGGGUAGCCGGCCUGAGAGGGUGACCGGCCACAUUGGGACUGAGAUACGGCCCAGACUCCUACGGGAGGCAGCAGUGGGGAAUAUUGCACAAUGGGCGGAAGCCUGAUGCAGCAACGCCGCGGGCGGGAUGACGGCCUGCGGGUUGUAAACCGCUUUCGCCUGUGACGAAGCGUGAGUGACGGUAAUGGGUAAAGAAGCACCGGCUAACUACGUG